AUGAACGCUGGCGGCGUGCCUAAUCCAUGCAAGUCGAGCGAACGGACGAGAAGCUUGCUUCUCUGAUGUUAGCGGCGGACGGGUGAGUAACACGUGGAUAACCUACCUAUAAGACUGGGAUAACUUCGGGAAACCGGAGCUAAUACCGGAUAAUAUUUUGAACCGCAUGGUUCAAAAGUGAAAGACGGUCUUGCUGUCACUUAUAGAUGGAUCCGCGCUGCAUUAGCUAGUUGGUAAGGUAACGGCUUACCAAGGCAACGAUGCAUAGCCGACCUGAGAGGGUGAUCGGCCACACUGGAACUGAGACACGGUCCAGACUCCUACGGGAGGCAGCAGUAGGGAAUCUUCCGCAAAGGGCGAAAGCCUGACGGGGCAACGCCGCGUGAGUGAUGAAGGUCUUCGGAUCGUAAAACUCUGUUAUUAGGGAAGAACAUAUGUGUAAGUAACUGUGCACAUCUUGACGGUACCUAAUCAGAAAGCCACGGCUAACUACGUG
rnacentral:rRNA from 1 species